GAAGAAAUUGUAUCCAUGGAGACAGGUAGGAUGCAUUCAAUGUAAAUAUAUUUUGUUUUACAGAGCAAAGAUUUUGAAAAUCUGGAAACAUUGUUGUUCAUUCACCCUAAGCAAAGAAGCAAAGAAAAUCUCAGAAAGAUUUGAAGCUGAAAGUAUGAUUCCAAGACAAGGCCAUGUACCACUUGAAUGCUACUUGAUUCCUGCUGGACAUUUUAAAGGUCAUGUCAAGUAAUACAAGUGUGAACAAAAAUACCAACUCUGAAAUAUUUAAGUGAGUUUGAAGAAGAUGACUUCAUAGAGGGUAAAUAUUGUCUAAAUUUCUUGAUCUCUUAUCAACAUUUUUUAUUUAAAGUUUUUU
rnacentral:lncRNA from 1 species